GAUGAACGCUGGCGGCGUGCCUAAUACAUGCAAGUCGAGCGAACAGACGAGGAGCUUGCUCCUCUGACGUUAGCGGCGGACGGGUGAGUAACACGUGGAUAACCUACCUAUAAGACUGGGAUAACUUCGGGAAACCGGAGCUAAUACCGGAUAAUAUAUUGAACCGCAUGGUUCAAUAGUGAAAGACGGUUUUGCUGUCACUUAUAGAUGGAUCCGCGCCGCAUUAGCUAGCUGGUAAGGUAACAGCUUACCAAGGCAGCGAUGCGUAGCCGACCUGAGAGGGUGAUCGGCCACACUGGAACUGAGACACGGUCCAGACUCCUACGGGAGGCAGCAGUAGGGAAUCUUCCGCAAUGGGCGAAAGCCUGACGGAGCAACGCCGCGUGAGUGAUGAAGGUCUUCGGAUCGUAAAACUCUGUUAUUAGGGAAGAACAAAUGUGUAAGUAACUAUGCACGUCUUGACGGUACCUAAUCAGAAAGCCACGGCUAACUACGUG
rnacentral:rRNA from 1 species